rnacentral:lncRNA from 1 species
GAUAUGGAGACUUCGAUGAUUUUAAUCUAGAGGAUGUGCUGAAAGAAACUUCCUCAGUAAAGCGUGAGUCAAACAAACAAGUCCACCAAGCAGACACUGUGCACCGUGCACCACAGUCACAAUCUUGCCUUCAGAAAAGUACACGCAUAUGAGACUAGCUGUACCUCCACCUACCUGUUUGUUCUGUUGUGCAAGGCUUGUGUUGUCUCAUCAUACGUGUGUCAUCUUCCUUUUUCAUUCAGUCUAUGUCGAGUCCAUGAGAGAACAUGCAUCUGCCUUAGCCUUUUUUCUGCUGUACAAAAAGAGAACUCCGACCCAUUUCAUACCCCUCACUGUUUUGUUUUGAGACAGGGUCUCUUGAUUUAGCCCGAGUUGUCCUGAAAUUCUCUGUGCCAACAAGGCCGUCUUUGACUUGGAUCCAGUGCUAGAGCAACAGUGACUCUUGGCCACUGAUGUGCAUUUCUAGCUUCAGAACCCAUGACUUUUUAUGAUUCUUCAGUGUGAUCCCCACAAUGGCCUUGGGGACCGAUGCCGAGACCAUUCUCACGAUGUGACUUCUAUAAACCAUAAAGCAGCCAAUGUGUUUUACAAUCUGCUUCCUUUCAUCCUCCCUUCUCCCUUCAGGAGCCACUUUAGCACCACGACUAGGAGGACAGGAACAACCAGAGCCCCAUCAAAUCCAGCAGAGAGAUGGGACCACAUCACCACUACUACAACGAGAAGGCCAGGAACAACUAGAGCACCGUCAAAUCCUAUGGAACUUGAUGGGUUUGACUUGGAAGAUGCCUUGUAUGAUCAGAAAAAAAGCCAAGUACAGGAGAAGGAGGAGGUAAGUUCUAAAUGCUCGACAUCACAGGCCAGUGCUAUAGUUCCUGGUAUGGUUUGUCUUAUACCUGCAAUGGCGUUCUGAGAUGCCCAGAGUACUGUAGAUCUGGGCCAGAUCUGGGCCACAUCGAGCUGUAGGAGAACCCCACAACAGUAGUACUGAUAUAUUUUGGUCUUGGGAUUCUCCAAAUUAUUGGGAAUCUCAAUAACUAUUGUCUGUGUGUGUCAUAUCUAUCUCUGUUUAUCGUCUAUAUAUUAUUUUUUUUAAAUCAGUAUUGUUCGUAUAAAAUGAUAAUACUAAACCAAUACAUAUUAACAUAAAUAGCACAUGGUAUGAGUCUGUGUGUCGAGAGAAAAACAAUUUUUGUCAGAGAGUGGCA